GUGGGGAAUAUUGGACAAUGGGCGCAAGCCUGAUCCAGCCAUGCCGCGUGAGUGAUGAAGGCCUUAGGGUUGUAAAGCUCUUUCGCCGGUGAAGAUAAUGACGGUAACCGGAGAAGAAGCCCCGGCUAACUUCGUGCCAGCAGCCGCGGUAAUACGAAGGGGGCUAGCGUUGCUCGGAAUCACUGGGCGUAAAGCGCACGUAGGCGGGUCGUUAAGUCAGAGGUGAAAGCCUGGAGCUCAACUCCAGAACUGCCUUUGAUACUGGCGACCUCGAGUUCGAGAGAGGUUGGUGGAACUCCGAGUGUAGAGGUGAAAUUCGUAGAUAUUCGGAAGAACACCAGUGGCGAAGGCGGCCAACUGGCUCGAUACUGACGCUGAGGUGCGAAAGCGUGGGGAGCAAACAGGAUUAGAAACCCCAGUAGUCC
rnacentral:rRNA from 1 species